rnacentral:lncRNA from 1 species
AAGAUUCCAAACAUAUCAGUUUAUGUCAUUAUUUCAUCACUCAUUAUUCAAUCAUUCCAGACAACAGUUCUUGGUAUCUGUUGAUAAGAACCAAAAAAGAACAACCAUCAGAAUCGAAUAUAUAAUAUUAAAUUCCCUAUAUACAUAAAAAAAAAAUACUAUGCACAAAUAAUAGAGUGAAUGGAUAAGUUAACUAAUUAAAUCCAGCUAUCACAAAACAUAUGAUCUGUCAUAAUCUUCUUUACAGUAUAGGUAUAGGUGCAGCCAUUUUUCAUGCUCACUUGACUCGUAAUAAAAACUACGAGUUUACGAAUUUAUGAUGAAGAAUCUUAUAAUUAAUUAACCUUAAAACCCGAAAUUGAUGAAUUAUAAUUGUUCAAAUUAAAUUAACUCAAAUGGACUCAACAACUUGGCCAGAAUACGUGUCUAUUUAUUUUAAAGUUGGUUAAAAUUGAUUUUGAUAAAGUGUUAACGUUUAAUGCUGGGUUAAUUGGCGUGAGCGCGUUUUUAUUGAUUUUCUAUGAGUUAGAAGAAACCUAUCUGCUUUAAUUGUUGAUUAAUUAUCACUGCAAAGUCUAGGAUGAGAGCUUGAGAAUAAAACAAGAAGGGUACUGUGAAUAGGUUUCUGUUGGUUGUCACCCUUGUCUGCAAAAGAAUUCGAGGCUAAUUUUCAAUUAGUGUGGCCUGGGAAGGGCUUCACAAUUUUCAGUCCUUUUGCAAAAAGAUUACAAGCUGGUUCCUACUUCCUAGCUACUACUGAAGAUAAAAACGCUUAUUUGGUCUUAGUAGUUUACUUAUUUUUUAGUUUUUUUUAAAAUUUAUUUUAAUAAUAUUGAAGAUAAACUUAUCAAAAUAAUUAAUUAUUUAAACUUAUUUAAAAAAAGUACACAUACAAACUUAUAAUUAAAUAAAUAUUCAUUACAUAAGAAUUUAAUAAAAAUGUAUUUGUCUGACUGCACCUUAAUUAAAUCUAUUAAAUUAUUUUUAAUUGAAGUUUACGUUUUUUUUUUUAAUUUGAAGGGAGGAGUAGAAGUGUAGAACUCUGUACAAGAGGGUUUUUCCCAUGCUAAAACCAGAGAAUUGUAUGUUUCCAGUUGAUGACUCUCUGAUUACACAUUUAUUAGGUUUGAACAUAAUUUCAUAUUCAUUAUCACGCAAUUGAUUAAUGCUCAGAAAGAUUAUACUGCAAACCUUUUAAUCUAUUUGAGUAAAACUAAGUUUACGUACCUAUUUUACCAAUGCCUUUGAUAUGAGCUUGAUUGUUGCCUCCAAAUGAAACUACUCCUCCAUCAUCCUGGUCAAUAUCCAAAAACUUACUUUUGUCUCUAGUCAUGCAUCUGAAACAACCACUGUCCAAGAAUCGAUGUUUUCUUCUUCUAGUUGACAUGAAGCAAUUUUUUGAGGAGGUUGCUUCUAGUACCUUCAUAGGCUGAACUUUGAUAUCAAC